rnacentral:rRNA from 1 species
UACGUAGGGCGCAAGCGUUGUCCGGAAUUAUUGGGCGUAAAGAGCUCGUAGGCGGCCUGUUGCGUCCGCUGUGAAAUCCCGGGGCUCAACCCCGGGCCUGCAGUGGAUACGGGCUGGCUAGAGGCAGGCAGGGGAGAACGGAAUUCCUGGUGUAGCGGUGAAAUGCGCAGAUAUCAGGAGGAACACCGGUGGCGAAAGCAGGUACCUGGACUAUUACUGACACUCAGCUGCGAAAGCUAGGGGAGCAAACAGG